rnacentral:rRNA from 1 species
CCUACGGGUGGCAGCAGUGAGGAAUAUUGGUCAAUGGGCGCGAGCCUGAACCAGCCAAGUAGCGUGAAGGAUGACUGCCCUCCGGGUUGUAAACUUCUUUUAUCAAGGAAUAACGUGAGUCACGUGUGCCUUUUUGUGUGUCCUUUAUGCAUAAGGCACGGCUAACUCCGUGCCAGCAGCCGCGGUAAUACUGAGGAUCCGAGCGUUAUCCGGAUUUAUUGGGUUGAAAGGGAGCGUAGAUGGGUUGUUAAGGCAGUUGGGAAAGUUUGCGGCUCAACCGUAAAAUUGCAAUUGAUACUGGCAGUCUUGAGUACAGGUGAGGCAGGCGGAAUUCGUGGUGUAGCGGUGAAAUGCUUAGAUAUCACGAAGAACUCCGAUUGCGAAGGCAGCUUACUAAACUGCCACUGACACUGAUGCGCGAAAGCGUGGGGAUCAAACAGGAUUAGAUACCCCUGUAGUC